CUAAAGUACUAAAAUGAGCAUCAACUACAUAACAACAUUAUUUUUUUUCUUUUUUGUUUCCAAUUACUAGGAAAGGUUCCAGUAAAAUAUUUCACAGAUGCGCCUAAAACAACCUUUGGUUCUCAUGAAGAGUUCAUAAUACGUAUUCAAAAUGAAGUACCGGGUUUGCAGGAGGUGCUUUCACAGGAUGAGUGUGAUGUAAUUCUGCUGUUUCUACCUAAUGUAUCAUGUGGUGGAAUAAACCCUGAUGCAGCCCGGGAAAAGCUUGAUGCUAUUGCAGUCUCUAAACCUGCUGUUCUAGUAGUGCUUCAUUACUCCAUAGACCCAGAGAAGGUUAUAUUAGAAAGCAGCAAACUAGCAGCAAAGAGACCAAACACACGCACAGUGGACUGUCUCUUCCAUGAAGAUAAAGGAUUACUAAAGUGCUGCAAGAAUGAAGAAGCAGUGAAGACAGUUAAGGAGUGGCUGCAGGAUCUAUAUAAGACAAAGCCCACGGCAGCCGUAGUUGAACCUAAAUCAGACGAGGAUAUAAGAGGUAAUUACACAAUGUAAUUGUAUUAUUUGUGUAAAUUUGUGUGUGUGUGUGUGCGUGUGUGUGCGAGGG
rnacentral:lncRNA from 1 species